rnacentral:misc_RNA from 1 species
AAGUCGUAACAAGGUUUCCGUAGGGUGAACCUGCAGGAAGGAUCUUAAUGAUUGCAAUCGGAUUACCUUCGGGAUGGCUGGCUCUUGGCAAGUGCACGUUGGUAGCUUUCAUCCAAUACCCUUGUGAACCUUUGGCCUCUUGCUAGCUUCGGCUGGCAGAGGAUUUUUACACACUCGAAUGUAAAGAAAACUAUUGUCGUGCGCAAGCACUAAUGUACAA